GCCGCGGGACGACCCGCUGGCAUGUCGAAUCGUGCGGGGACGGCCCUG
rnacentral:ncRNA from 1 species